rnacentral:lncRNA from 1 species
AGCAGUCUGGCUCUGCAGCAGCGAAGGGAAGGGGGGAGGGUGUGUACAAGGGCGCGCGCUCGCGCGCUCUGGAGAGCAGGGGAGAGCUUGGCGCUGAGCCAGCUACCAUCAGAAUUAGCUCAUUGUUCAAUAUAACCAGCAUAGACAACCAAAGCCUGAAAGAGAGCGAGAUUUUCCCCUCUUGCUGCUGCCCCCAUCCCGUUUCUCCCCUCCCCCGUUUUCCAAGGCUGCACUCAGAAAAAAGAUCAUGUAGAAAGGAGAGAAAGUGA